rnacentral:tmRNA from 1 species
GGGGAUGACAGGUCUCGACAGGGAGGGCUGGCCCGCGAUUGCAAGCCGAGGCGCCUCACCCUCGUUAAUCAGGGGCAAAAACACAAGUGCCAACAAAGCACAAACCCCGGCGUACGCUUACGCCAUGGCUGCCUAAGCAGUCAUAGCGUGAACGACGCCCGACCACCUGAGCGUGGUCACGCUCGCCUCGGGUUCUCCCCGGUGGCCUGGGGAUGAGCGUCAGAUGCAGCGGGGUGCGGCCUGCCGACGCCGAUGGGCAGGCCUAAGCCGUGGGCGAUGAGCCUGCGGGCUCGGCUGGCCCCGAAGGGACCCCGUCGGCCGGGGCCCUGCGGGGCGAGACAGCAAAAGGUCGACUAAGCUUGUAGCAUAUCGCCGGUCGAACUUUCUGGACGCGGGUUCGAUUCCCGCCAUCUCCACCU